rnacentral:ncRNA from 1 species
AGUACGAGAGGAACCGCAGGUACGGACCAAUGGCACGAUACUUGUUCGAGCGAACAGUGGUAUGACGCUACGUCCGUUGGAUUAUGCCUGAACGCCUCUAAGGUCGUAUCCGUGCUGGACUGCAAUGAUAAAUAAGGGGCAAUUUGCAUUGUAUGGCUUCUAAACCAUUAAAAGUUUAUUUUAUAAACGACAAUGGAUGUGAUGCCAAUGUUAUUUGUAACAUAGUAAAUUGGGAGGAUCUUCGAUCACCUGAUGCCGCGCUAGUUACUUAUUAAAACAUUAUUUAAUACAAUGACAAAGCCUAGAAUCAAUUGUAAACGACUUUUGUAACAGGCAAGGUGUUGUAAGUGGUUGAGCAGCUGCCAUACUGCGACCCACUGAAGCUUAUCCUUUGCUGAUGAUUCGA